UACAGAGGUCUCAACCGUUGUUCGGAUUCAUUGGGCGUAAAGGGCGCGUAGGCGGGCUGUCAAGUCUGGGGUGAAAUCCCGCGGCUCAACCGUGGAACUGCCUCAGAUACUGACGGUCUCGAGGGAGGUAGGGGCGAGCGGAACUGAUGGUGGAGCGGUGAAAUGCGUUGAUAUCAUCAGGAACUCCGGUGGCGAAGGCGGGUCUCUGGGCCGAUACUGACGCUGAGGAGCGAAAGCGUGGGGAGCGAACAGG
rnacentral:rRNA from 1 species